rnacentral:rRNA from 1 species
GGCGGCCAGAGCGACAGGGAAACUCCUGAACCCAUUCCGAACUCAGAAGAUAAGCCUGUCCACGUUCUGCAUUGUACUUAGGUGCGCGAGCCCUCGGGAACUGUAGAUCGCUGCCAUGCUCACCUAAUAUCUUUUUAUUAGAGCUUCAAGCCGAGCUUGGGCUCCAGAAUUACUGCACAUUAAACCCAACUUAUCCUCGCUGCACGGAUGACGGUU